rnacentral:hammerhead_ribozyme from 1 species
AUCCAACUGACUAGUCCUGAGUAGGACGAAACGCGAGUCCUGGAU